GUUGGAAACAACCCUCAAUGCAACAGUGUUGGAAGGUGGAGACUUUGGGGAGGAGUUUAGGUCAUAAAGGCUUUGCCCUCAUGAAUGGAUUAAUGCCACUACAAAAAGGGUUUGCAGGAGUAGGCCCACUCUCUCUUGUUCUUCUGCCUUCUGACAGGUUCAUUGCUAAGGAAUGGAUUGAAUCAGUACCUAAACCAGCUGACAGGGAUGAAUAAAGAAUGCAUCUUUUGCCAAGUACUGGGUAGAAUUUCCUUGGAGAGACUACAGAAGUGUGAGCAAUUUGGCUCUGUUCAUUACAAACAGUGUCUAUGGCAGACAUAUGAAGACCACAACUCCCUCCUUGAUGGAACAGGACCCUCGCCCCAGAGUGAGAAAACUGACGCUCAGGCAUCGAUUAGGCAGGGAUGACUAUGAAUGUCUCUGUGACAGGGUUGUUGCCUCCCAUUGAGAGAAGAAGACAAUGAAGAAGGAGUAUUCAAACAAGAUCAAGGCAGUCAUCACUUCAAUCAAAUCGUUUCCAAAUUUUGGGGGGUGGGAGCUCUGGGUGAGGGGGAGUGAAUGGUGUUUAUGACAUAUAGCUGCCUAUUCCCAGAACUCUUUUAUGUACUUUUAUUUUAUCUUCAAAAAGAAAAGACAUAUUAAAGGGAAAUAUCUAAGGAGGAGCAAUGCUACAUAAAGUUUAUGUUUUCAGAUCUGUUGCCCCAGAAAAUGCUUUGAUAAAACACACUUACAGCAAUAUAGUCAAUUUCAAAGAAAAGCUGGGAGAUAUACCUCUCCCUAUUGCAAUUUCACUAAUACUGACAGACCACCAAUUAUGACUAUCCAAAUUCUGAUAUGGCCUCUUGCCUCCC
rnacentral:lncRNA from 1 species